rnacentral:rRNA from 1 species
CCUUCAUGAAGCCGGAAUUGCUAGUAAUGGCAGGUCAGCAUACUGCCGUGAAUACGUUCCCGGGCCUUGUACACACCGCCCGUCACACCAUGAGAGUUGGGGAUACCCGAAGCCUGUGAGCUAACUUUAUAAGGAGCAGCAGUCGAAGGUAGAAUCAAUGAUUGGGGUGAAGUCGUAACAAGGUACC